rnacentral:rRNA from 1 species
GAGUUUGAUCAUGGCUCAGAUUGAACGCUGGCGGCAGGCCUAACACAUGCAAGUCGAGCGAGAAAGCCCUUCGGGGUGAGUGAGCGGCGGACGGGUGAGUAACGCGUAGGAAUCUACCGAGUAGUGGGGGACAACAUGGUGAAAACCAUGCUAAUACCGCAUACGCCCUACGGGGGAAAGGGGGCUCUUUGAGCUCUCGCUAUUUGAUGAGCCUGCGUAAGAUUAGCUAGUUGGUGGGGUAAAGGCUCACCAAGGCGACGAUCUUUAGCUGGUCUGAGAGGAUGAUCAGCCACACUGGGACUGAGACACGGCCCAGACUCCUACGGGAGGCGGCAGUGGGGAAUAUUGCACAAUGGGGGAAACCCUGAUGCAGCCAUGCCGCGUGUGUGAAGAAGGCUCUAGGGUUGUAAAGCACUUUCAGUGGGGAGGAAAAGUUGGUAGUUAAUACCUGCCAACCCUGACGUUACCCACAGAAGAAGGACCGGCUAACUCCGUGCCAGCAGCCGCGGUAAUACGGAGGGUCCGAGCGUUAAUCGGAAUUACUGGGCGUAAAGCGCGCGUAGGCGGUUUGUUAAGUCGGAUGUGAAAGCCCAGGGCUCAACCUUGGAACUGCACCCGAUACUGGCUAACUAGAGUACGAUAGAGGGUGGUAGAAUUUCUUGUGUAGCAGUGAAAUGCGUAGAUAUAAGAAGGAAUACCAGUGGCGAAGGCGGCCACCUGGAUCGAUACUGACGCUGAGGUGCGAAAGCGUGGGGAGCGAACGGGAUUAGAUACCCCGGUAGUCCACGCCGU